rnacentral:rRNA from 1 species
UACGUAGGGGGCGAGCGUUGUCCGGAUUUAUUGGGCGUAAAGAGCUCGUAGGCGGUUUGUCGCGUCUGCUGUGAAAACCCGAGGCUCAACCUCGGGCCUGCAGUGGGUACGGGCAAACUAGAGUGCGGUAGGGGAGAAUGGAAUUCCUGGUGUAGCGGUGGAAUGCGCAGAUAUCAGGAGGAACACCGAUGGCGAAGGCAGUUCUCUGGGCCGUAACUGACGCUGAGGAGCGAAAGCGUGGGGAGCGAACAGG